AAGUAGCCCAUUCAAUCUGAUCAAUCUACUCCCUGGGGAGGUUGGAAAUCAAAUGAUGUGUACAACAAUUCAGGAUGUUGUUUGAAUUACUUGUCCUAACUGGUGCACAAGUUGGGAUGGAUUGGACUUCUAUCUUGAGAAAACGCCAUGAUUUCAGGGCUGCUUUCACCGGGUUUGAUGCAGAAAUCGUUGCCAACUUCACAAAAAGACAAAUAGCAUCAAUGGCCACAGAUUACAACUUGGAUUUAAACACGGUUCGAGGUGCCGUCAACAAUACUAACAGAAUCCUCCGGGUUAGAUUGUUGAUUGGACUUGAUUUUAUUUAAAUGAUCUUAAUAAUCCAUUUUAUUUAAAUGAGUAGACCCGGAUGUGCGUCGGAGCUAUC